UUUGAUUCACUUGAACAACUCUAUAACAAUUGUUUUCUCUUUUCCUUUAUCUUUUUAUUCAUUUUUUUAAAGGAGUAUGUAUUGACUGACAUCCUUCUAUUUUUUUUCAUUCAUUUUUUUCUAUUUUUCUUUUCUUUUUCUGCCAACUUCUGAAAUAUUACAGACAUAAUUAUUCAACCCUGCACAACUUCAAAUAAGACUCUUUCAAUCCUUUGAAUAGGGUGAUAACAUUGUUUUUCACUUCUCGUC
rnacentral:lncRNA from 1 species